CCCGGCGAUUAUGGCGAGGAGGCCACACCCGUUCCCAUUCCGAACACGGCAGUUAAGCUCCUCAGCGUCGAUGGUACUAUGUGGGCAACUGCAUGGGAGAGUAGAUCGUCGCCGGGU
rnacentral:rRNA from 1 species